rnacentral:rRNA from 1 species
GAUUGAACGCUGGCGGCAGGCCUAACACAUGCAAGUCGAACGGUAACAGGAAGCAGCUUGCUGCUUCGCUGGCGAGUGGCGGACGGGUGAGUAAUGUCUGGGAAACUGCCUGAUGGAGGGGGAUAACUACUGGAAACGGUAGCUAAUACCGCAUAACGUCGCAAGACCAAAGAGGGGGACCUUCGGGCCUCUUGCCAUCGGAUGUGCCCAGAUGGGAUUAGCUAGUAGGUGGGGUAGCGGCACACCUAGGCGACGAUCCCUAGCUGGUCUGAGAGGAUGACCAGCCACACUGGAACUGAGACACGGUCCAGACUCCUACGGGAGGCAGCAGUGGGGAAUAUUGCACAAUGGGCGCAAGCCUGAUGCAGCCAUGCCGCGUGUAUGAAGAAUGCCUUCGGGUUGUAAAGUACUUUCAGCGG